UCGUGACGUAGCGAAGUCCGAAACGCGGCGAUGGUGGCUGAGGGGGCGGACGAGGCUCGCGAUGCCGUUGAGGGCGGGUCAGAGGUCAGCGCGCAGACGCUUUUUUUCCAAGCCACGCACAUCUCCGGACUCAUCAUGACAAUUCCGUGAACGGUGGCUGCAGGGCACAUGAUGUCUCCCAUCCCCAAAGUGAUGAAGUAACACAAAGUGCCACUUACCCUGUGUGUGCUGGACUCUCAUCACCUCAUUGUUCUGCUGUGAUCUUGCAAGAAUUAACAAACUUAGUUUAAACCACCUGAUACAGAGAGGCAUCAGUUACAUAAACUAAUCAAAAAUCAGUAUUAACUUUAUGACCAAGGCUCCCUAUGCUAUUCAGAGAUUAUUUUUCUCCUAUAAUUUUCAGGGACAUACCAGCCCUUAGUAAAACUGUAAAGAUUUUGAGGGCCCUUUGAUAGAUUUAAAUACUGGAGUACCAACUUGUCAGAUUUUGGGAGACCAAAAACAGUCAAUAAAAACAGUCAAUAAAUUCUAAGACUGA